rnacentral:rRNA from 1 species
UACGGAGGGAGCUAGCGUUGUUCGGAAUUACUGGGCGUAAAGCGCGCGUAGGCGGCUUUGUAAGUUAGAGGUGAAAGCCCGGGGCUCAACUCCGGAACUGCCUUUAAGACUGCAUCGCUUGAAUCCGGGAGAGGUGAGUGGAAUUCCGAGUGUAGAGGUGAAAUUCGUAGAUAUUCGGAAGAACACCAGUGGUGAAGGCGGCUCACUGGCCCGAUACUGACGCUGAGGCACGAAAGCGUGGGGAGCAAACAGG